UACGGGGGGGGCAAGCGUUGUUCGGAUUUACUGGGCGUAAAGGGCGCGUAGGCGGCGCGGUAAGUCACUUGUGAAAUCUCUGAGCUUAACUCAGAACGGCCAAGUGAUACUGCAGUGCUAGAGUGCAGAAGGGGCAAUCGGAAUUCUUGGUGUAGCGGUGAAAUGCGUAGAUAUCAAGAGGAAUACCUGAGGUGAAGACGGGUUGCUAGGCCGACACUGACGCUGAAGCGCGAAAGCCAGGGGAGCAAACGGG
rnacentral:rRNA from 1 species